GUCAGUGGGAUUUGCAUGUCCACAUCCUCUCUUAGAAGAUGGCUUGAAAUCAAAGAUAUUCUGGAAUGCCACAACAGUGAAAUUAGCAGUCAUAUUCUUCAGUGCUACACAAUGACUGAAAACCGCACCAGAAAUGCUAGUGGUGGCAAAAGGCACUGGAUUUGA